rnacentral:rRNA from 1 species
AUGAGAAAUGGCUACUAUUUCUAAGGAAAGCAGCAGGCGCGUAAAUUAUUCAAUGGGAAUAUCUUCCCGAAAUAGUGACAAAAAAUACUAAUGUAUUAAACUUUGUUUAGUACAAUUGGAAUGGAAACAAUCCAAAACCCUUAUUGAGUAACAAUUAGAGGGCAAGUCUGGUGCCAGCAGCCGCGGUAAUUCCAGCUCUAAUAGCGUAUAUUAAUACUGUUGCAGUUAAAAACGCUCGUAGUUGAACUUAGAAUUAUUACAGGUUAGUUUAAUUGAUUUUAAACUGCUUGCUUAGUUCUUAUCUACUAGAUACUCUAUUCUGUACUUAAUUGUAUGGAAUAUCACCUAGCCAGUGGGACUUUGGUAGAAUAAUGCCUUUUUUAAUACCAGAGUGUAAAAACUUGAAGUAUUAAAUUGGGAUCACAUUAUUUUAUUG